GGAGCUUGCAGUGAGCCGAGAUCGUGCCACUGCACUCCAGCCUGGCCGACAGAGCAAGACUCCGUCUCAAAAAAAAGAUUUGUAGGGGACGAGCCUGGAGGCAGGGAAUCGGUCAGGAUCCGAGUCACCCUAGGCAGAGAUCAGCGAAAGCCCUCGCUGAUGCAGAGGUCUGGAAGGCGUGGGGCUCCGGGAGGCUGGGCAGCUGGACUAGGCAUGACCCGAGGUCGUGAGGCCGUUCCGCAGGCUUGGGACGCUCCUGAGACCCUCAGAAUCAAGCGCGGGCCACUGCAUUAGCAUGGGAGAAAUGGCAGAGAUAGGGCUUGAGGGAGGGAUGCCCGAGAUUAAAGGUAUUAAAGGUAAAUUGGUGUCGCGGCAAAACCAGCGUGGGAGCCAGGAAACGAGAGUUUCAGUCUUUCUUCGCUAAUUCCAGAGAUAGCUGCAUAUCACAGGAAGAGAAGCGACCCAGCCAUUUUUCUUCGUUAUUAUCAAAAUUGGCUGCUGCUGGACGCCGUAGAUUUGUGGCGCACCAACCCUUAGCCCACGUCUCCGCGGCUUUUCACUAAGUUUGAACCCGACCCUUCGCCGUAGAGUGUGUAAUUUCUGUCUCCGAAGCUGACGUCAACCUCCGAACGAAAGCUAGGAGCGGAAGAGCGUGCGUGGAAAUGGCGCUCGUCUCACAGAAAGUUCUCCGCUCCCAGACAUGGGUCCCUCGGCUUCCUGCCUCGGAAGCGCAGCAGCAGGCAUCGUGGGAAGGUGAAGAGCUUCCCUAAGGAUGACCCGUCCAAGCCGGUCCACCUCACAGCCUUCCUGGGAUACAAGGCUGGCAUGACUCACAUCGUGCGAGAAGUCGACAGGCCAGGAUCCAAGGUGAACAAGAAGGAGGUGGUGGAGGCUGUGACCAUUGUAGAGACACCACCCAUGGUGGUUGUGGGCAUUGUGGGCUACGUGGAAACCCCUCGAGGCCUCCGGACCUUCAAGACUGUCUUCGCUGAGCACAUCAGUGAUGAAUGCAAGAGGCGUUUCUAUAAGAAUUGCUCCGCUCGGCUCUGCCCGAUGAGCUCCAUCCAGGCUCCGCUUGCCGGUGGAAAAGGCUCCUUAGAAGCCGGCAAUGAGCCCCAUCCCCACGCGGUGCCAGUGUGCCUUCCGCUCACCCCUUGGAGGGGUGAUGAAGGCCUGCACCUGGUCCCCUCCCCAACUCUGCUCUGCUCCUGAAGGCAUAAAUCUAAGAAGAAGGCCUUUACCAAGUACUGCAAGAAAUGGCAGGAUGAGGAUGGCAAGAAGCAGCUGGAGAAGGACUUCAGCAGCAUGAAGAAGUACUGCCAAGUCAUCCGUGUCAUUGCCCACACCCAGAUGCGCCUGCUUCCUCUGCGCCAGAAGAAGGCCCACCUGAUGGAGAUCCAGGUGAACGGAGGCACCGUGGCUGAGAAGCUGGACUGGGCCCGCGAGAGGCUUGAGCAGCAGGUACCUGUGAACCAAGUGUUUGGGCAGGAUGAGAUGAUCGACGUCAUCGGGGUGACCAAGGGCAAAGGCUACAAAGGGGUCACCAGUCGUUGGCACACCAAGAAGCUGCCCCGCAAGACCCACCGAGGCCUGCGCAAGGUGGCCUGUAUUGGGGCAUGGCAUCCUGCUCGUGUAGCCUUCUCUGUGGCACGCGCUGGGCAGAAAGGCUACCAUCACCGCACUGAGAUCAACAAGAAGAUCUAUAAGAUUGGCCAGGGCUACCUUAUCAAAGAUGGCAAGCUGAUCAAGAACAAUGCCUCCACUGACUAUGAUCUAUCUGACAAGAGCAUCAAUCCUCUGGGUGGCUUUGUCCACUAUGGUGAAGUGACCAAUGACUUUGUCAUGCUGAAAGGCUGUGUGGUGGGAACCAAGAAGCGGGUGCUCACCCUCCGCAAGUCCUUGCUGGUGCAGACGAAGCGGCGGGCUCUGGAGAAGAUUGACCUUAAGUUCAUUGACACCACCUCCAAGUUUGGCCAUGGCCGCUUCCAGACCAUGGAGGAGAAGAAAGCAUUCAUGGGACCACUCAAGAAAGACCGAAUUGCAAAGGAAGAAGGAGCUUAAUGCCAGGAACAGAUUUUGCAGUUGGUGGGGUCUCAAUAAAAGUUAUUUUCCACUGA
rnacentral:sRNA from 1 species